AUCCAGCUGACAAAUCCCAAAUAGGACGAAACUCUAGUCCUGGAU
rnacentral:hammerhead_ribozyme from 1 species